rnacentral:rRNA from 1 species
CAUAGCGACUAUCGUGGCAUAUCAAUAAGCGGAGGAAAAGAAACUAACAAGGAUUCCCUAGUAACGGCGAGUGAAGCGGGAAGAGCUCAAAUUUGAAAUCUUCAAGGGUUUACCUUUACGAAUUGUAGUUUAAAGAAGUGUUUUCUGUUGAGUUUCGGUAAAAGUUCUUUGGAAUAGGACAUCAUAGAGGGUGAGAAUCCCGUAUUUGACCGUUACUUUCCAGCUGUGUGAUACACUUUCAAAGAGUCGGAUUGUUUGGGAAUGCAGUCCAAAAUGGGUGGUAAAUUUCAUCUAAGGCUAAAUAUUGGCGAGAGACCGAUAGCGAACAAGUACCGUGAGGGAAAGAUGAAAAGAACUUUGAAAAGAGAGUUAAACAGUACGUGAAAUUGUCAAAAGGGAAGCGUUUGACACCAGUGUUGUUUUCUCGAAAAUCAAUUAAAGAUGAUGGGAUUUUGUGUUGUAUUGACUUUAUCAGCUUUCUGCACUUUUUUCUUAUCUUUUUUAAUGCACUUUUCGUUUAACAAGUCAACAUCAAUUUCUUUUGUUGUAAAAGAGUCAUUGGAAGGUGGCUUUUUCUUCGGAAAAAGUGUUUAUAGCCUUUGGCUUCUGCAAUCGGAGAGAUUGAGGUCUGCAGCGUAGAUCCUUCGGGGUUAGAUACAUUUGUGCUAAGCUAUAGUUCUUUAUAGACAACUUGUUGACUAUAAUCAAUCCUGUAACUUACUCGCUUAUGCUAUUUUACCUACGCUUAGGAUGUUGACGCGCGUGUGUGCGUG